rnacentral:rRNA from 1 species
AAACCAACAGGGAUUGCCCUAGUAACGGCGAGUGAAGCGGCAACAGCUCAAAUUUGAAAUCUGGCUCUCGGGCCCGAGUUGUAAUUUGUAGAGGAUGCUUUUGGUGAGGUGCCUUCCGAGUUCCCUGGAACGGGACGCCACAGAGGGUGAGAGCCCCGUCUGGUUGGACACCGAUCCUCUGUAAAGCUCCUUCGACGAGUCGAGUAGUUUGGGAAUGCUGCUCUAAAUGGGAGGUAUAUGUCUUCUAAAGCUAAAUACCGGCCAGAGACCGAUAGCGCACAAGUAGAGUGAUCGAAAGAUGAAAAGAACUUUGAAAAGAGAGUUAAAAAGUACGUGAAAUUGUUGAAAGGGAAGCGCUUGUGACCAGACUUGGGCUUGGUUGAUCAUCCAGGGUUCUCCCUGGUGCACUCUUCCGGCCCAGGCCAGCAUCAGUUCGCCCUGGGGGAAAAAGGCUUCGGGAAUGUGGCUCUCUCCGGGGAGUGUUAUAGCCCGUUGCGUAAUACCCUGUGGCGGACUGAGGUUCGCGCAUUCGCAAGGAUGCUGGCGUAAUGGUCAUCAGUGAC